rnacentral:rRNA from 1 species
UACGUAGGUGGCAAGCGUUGUCCGGAAUUACUGGGCGUAAAGGGUGUGUAGGCGGAUAUUUAAGUAGAAAGUGAAAGGUUGGAGCUCAACUCCAACAUUGCUUCCUAUACUGGAUGUCUUGAGUUUCGGAGAGGAAGAUGGAACGACACGUGUAGCGGUGAAAUGCGUUGAUAUGUGUCGGAACACCAAUAGCGAAGGCAGCUUACUACAGGAUGAUUGACGCUGAGGCACGAAAGCGUGGGGAGCAAACAGG